rnacentral:rRNA from 1 species
UACGGAGGGUGCAAGCGUUGCUCGGAAUUAUUGGGCGUAAAGGGUAGGUAGGUGGUCUCGUUUGUCUGGGGUGAAAGCCUUGAGCUUAACUCAAGAAGUGCCCCCAGAAACGGCGAGACUAGAGUCUUGGAGAGGGUCGUGGAAUUCCCGGUGUAGCGGUGAAAUGCGUAGAGAUCGGGAGGAACACCAGAGGCGAAGGCGGCGACCUGGACAAGUACUGACACUCAACUACGAAAGCUUGGGGAGCAAACAGG